CAGCUUUACAUAUUCUCUAGUUUCACUUUCCCCUGCAACUCAUUCCAUGCACUCAGAGUUAGCAAGCCAGACUUUCCAGAAAGGGACAUGCUAUUAUAGCUUUCUCUCCCCUCUCUCUCCCCUCUCUCUCCCCUCUCUCUUCUCUUCUCUCUCCCCUCUCUCUCCUCUCUCUUCUCUCUGUUUUCUUGUUUUCUUUUUUUUUCUUGUUUUCUUGUUUACUGGUUGUGUUCAUCAUCACACCAUGGGACAACAGUUUUCAUCCAAGGAUAGUAGUUGUUUCUCAUGUUUUUAAUAUCUGAUGUACUUUUUAUAUGCUCAAAAGCAGAAUUUUACAAUUCCACAGACCGAAUAAAUCCCAGGCUUUCUAAAAUGAUACAAUAGAAGCUUCAGCUUCACCAGCAGAGCUGUAAAUGAGGCUUUAUUUGCCAUUUUAGGAAAAGGGCUGAAAGUGUCUAGCCAGUGAAAAUGCAGUAAAUUUGAGAGGUCAGAGCAAUAGAGCGCAUGCCUGUCUUCCAUCGGGUAUAACAUCUAAUGGGUUCAAAUGAGUGCGACUCUUAAAGCUUAAAACUUAAAUUUGUGGUCACUUAGUAAAAUUUUUACUGGGCAUCAGAGUCUGUUUAAAAUGUCCUCCAUCAUGACAAGAUCUUAAAGCACAGAGAGUUUCACUGGCAGCCUUGCUUUUGAUCUGGGAGCUGUUAGAAGCCAUUGCACCACAGAUGAAAGGAGUUAGAAAAUUCCAUAUCAUAAUGCAGUUAGAUCAGUAAUUCAUGGAGCAGAUUUGUGUUGAUGAUCAUCUUUGAUUCUGAAUCUACAGUUCUAGAUCUGAAACAGCAGAAUGUUCUCAAAAUUAAACAAAACUCUACAUCCAGGAGACUAAAUUAAGACUUUAACUUAGAACAAUCUCAGUAUUUCAGCAAAACAUAUGAUUUGAGGUUUUAAAGAAGGCUAACAAGACUAAUUCUGUUAUAACAUGAGAAUUGAAAUGAAAGACUGUGUAUCUCUUUGCAAAAAUGUGUCUUAGCCAGUUACCUCAGCUGUUUACCUAAGUAGCUACAGGACAUCUGUUUCAAGAUAGGUUGCAGGCGCAUUGCAUUUCACCUUCCUGAAGAGGACAGGAAACUUAAUUUUGAAUUCCUCUUCUCAGCUACUCAGUCUGUUUAAUACUGUGGCUGUGUUCUGCUCAGCACCUGACACGUGAUUCUCUGAAAUGGCUCCAUGUCAAAAGGCUGAUCUGAUUUCUCCUGACCUGCCAAGACAUCUGCAACUGGUCUGCAGGGGGACAACAAUGAUGUCUACACAAAUUCCCUUUCUUUAAAUUGCAAGUAUCCUGUCCUGGUUCUCUGCCUUGGAAUUACUUCAUAUUUUGGAAAACAAACCAACAGAAGCAUAAAAGAAUAAUAGUAAUAACAGAGACCAAAACAAAAGACAGAAGAAAAUAUACUCCAGCCUGUGUUAAAAGAAUUCUCUUGGAAAAUGAAAAGCCGUGGUACCACUGGGAUCAGCUAUUCAAAGGACCUAAAACCUUGCCAUAGCCUCCACAGCUGCUACAGAAAUUCAUUUGAUACAGCUCUGCAUUCCCUGUAUGGUUAAUUCACACUUAUCUGUGGAAAUACUUGAUCCAAACCUGACCGAAAUGACUGCAGAUGCUUUUGUUGACUUUAUGGGCCUUUCUGACUCUGUCUGUGAUACAGGAGAAUCAGCCAUGCAGGACAGGGGUGUAAUUCCAUCAAGGACUUAUGGUGACCUCAUAAACCAUGAGAGCUGGCAUUGACUUUAAUGGGCACCACGUGGUUAAAUUCCCAUGCAUCAAUUUGAAAAUGUAGGGCUUCAUUUGAUAUUGCAGAAGGAUACCAGACCUGCCGUGUCAAAUUGUUUCUCUUUCUUCUAAAGGAGCUACUAGCUUUAUGUUACAGUCAGUCCUCUUUGGUAGCAAAUGAAAUAUACCAUUUUGGAAAAUGAGUAUUUUCUCUGGCAAAACGAACUUGAAAAGUACAUUUCAUAGAAAAGCACAUAUUUGGGUUAUAUUCUUUUAAAUAAACUUUCUAAAAAGAUGGCAAUAACUUCAAGGAAAGGUGUGGUUUGUAUAGCACUGGCUUGCCUGCAAAGUUUUAAGUAUGAGACAUUUCAAAAAAUUAAUUUGUACAUCAAUUAGAAAAUAUAGGAAUGGAAUUAUUUUAGAUCAGUUGAAAAACUAGACUAUAUUAAACCUAUUUGAAGUUAAAGCAGGUAAGGUGUCUCAAAUUGCUAAUGUUGAAUGACCACAGUUAAAAGUUACUCUAACAAAAGUAAUUGUAUUCAAUACACAAGUUUUAGUGAUGUGUGUUUUAGGAAUGUAGUCCCAAAGCUGGGAAAAAACAAACAAACAAGAAAAUAAAAAGAAAAGAAAAGAAAAGAAAAGAAAAGAAAAGAAAACCUUGAAGAAAAUAGGGAGGCCCUACGGACUACAGGAAUUUCCAAGUGUACAGUAUGAAUGACUUGAAUUUUCACUUCUGUGAAAUUUGUUCAGUCACCUUGGUAGGUCACUUGUAGAUUUUCCAUUGCCUUUUCUCAAACUAUAUUUUGUCUUUUAAAAAUAGCAUACAGCCAUUGUACAUACCUAUAAAAUGCUGCCUAUGAUCAGCCCUAAAAGAAGAUCUGACA